AAGUUGCCGUCUAUCUUGUCUUCUAACUUGUAAUUAUUAUAAAAAUCUAGUUUUCCACUUAUCUAGAAGUGAGUGUGUGUGUGUGUGGAUAGAUCUCACCUCACAUUCACAAAUCACAAUAGCAGAAGAUUAUGGCAACAAAAGUGAAGGUUUGGGGGUUUUGGUGUAGUCCUUUUGUGUUUAGGGUAGUAUGGGCAUUGAAGCUAAAGGGUGUUGAAUUUGAAUAUAUUGAAGAAGACGUCUUUAACAAAAGCACCAGGCUUCUUGAGCUGAACCCAGUUCAUAAAAAGGUUCCUGUGCUUGUUCAUGAUGACAAAGUGAUAGUUGAGUCGUUUGUUAUUCUGGAGUACAUCGAUGAGACAUGGCCACAAGAUCCGUUGCUGCCUCGAGAUCCUUAUGAAAGAGCCAUGGCUCGAUUUUGGGCUAAAUUUGCAGAUGAAAAGGUGAGUGUUAAUGUUUUUACAACUUUGAAUUCAAUUAAAACUUCGAUUUGAUCUUUUCAAAACAAGUUUGUGGUUUUUCUGUUAAAGUUCUCUCUGAACUAAAAUACUGGUUUGGCCUCCUAAUUUUUUUAUUUUUAGCUGAUGCAAACUGCAUGCAAGUCAACGUGGACCAAAGGAGAGGAAAAAGAGGAUGCUCUGAAAGCAACAAUGGAAGCUUUGGAGAAGAUAGAGGGAGAACUCAAAGGAAAAAGCUACUUUGGAGGAGAGAACAAAUAUGCGUAUUUGGAAGUUGCAAUUGGAUGGAUCAAUUACCUUAUACCAAUUUGGGAAGAAAUUGCAUCCAUUCAAUUUCUUGACCCGAAAAGAUUUCCAGCCAUUACUGCAUGGAAAAGCAAGUUUCUGGAUAACCCUUUGAUCAAAGAAACCCUGCCACCAAGGGAGAAAUUGCUUAUCUAUUUUCACGAGCGCGUCAAACAUUGGGAGAUUGACGCUACAAUCCGUGAACUGGCGGAGACCAAACUUGAAAAUUAAUUAAUUAAUCGAAUUAUCAUCUCUGCACGUGUCUCUUUUUUAUUCGCUCUGUAUGAUUUCGUUGUUUUUUAUUAUUAUUGUUAUUAUUAUUUUUAUAAGUACUUUGGGUCAAGUUGAAUCUGUGUUGAGAAAAUAAAGAAGAGGUAUGACCUAUUUAUUAUGCUUUGGCGGGACAAAAAUUAUACAUUACUUUCAUGGAACUAUUUUUUCAGAUAUAUGGAAUUUGUAGCUAGAUCAAGAGUUAAAGAGUUGAAGAUUAAACCAACAAAGUGUUGGCUCCACUGGCAAUUGAGUCCCCUUAAGUGGCUUGACUGGGUUUGCUCCCCAGUUCGAGUCGCAGGGAAGUCGCUUUUGUUGGGAGAACUUGUGCCUCCCGGUUCGAGCGGGGACUUCUAGUCUGGAUUGUGGUACGGGCUUAAAGGUGCCUCCCAUAGUUGGGGCCCUCCCCAGGAUACCUCGUGAUUAAUAUAAAAAAAAAAAAAAAGAGUUGAAGAUUAGCUUCAAUCUUAUAAACAUGGCCUAAAGUUCAUCCCAUAUUAAUGUAGGAUUUUUCCUUAAUUAACUUCUGUUAUGUGCACAUCAAUUUAUUUUUUUUUUGUUAGAUCCUUAUCACAUAGAAAGAUAAUUUGGAUCCACUCAUAGGUGAAUUUGUCCAUUAUAACAUAUUGAAAUCUAUGAGUUUAAUUCAUGUUAAAAAACUCAUUUAGAUCUUGAGGAAUAUUGCCUUUAACCCAAUAUUCAAUUGCAAUUAAGUGGAGAUCCUCCAAUGUAAUGAAAAAUUGUUUUAUUUAAAUUAAAUUAAACAAGAAAAACAUUUCAUCAAUAUACUAUAAUGGGAAGAGCAUUUGGCGCCCCUGAGCAUUAAUUAAACUUAUUUUCUAUUCGAAUUUUUGUUGCUAGUAUAAUUAUUGGGCAAAUUAAUUGUUUCCAAAAGGGUAUCAUACAUUAGUUCUUAUCAUUUUUGUUAACUUCAUAUAAUUAGGAGAAAUUCUAUAAACAGACUCUUAAAGAUUUUAGAUUUACAAGCUAUAAAAUAAGAUGAAAAAAAAAAUUACCUUACAAUAAUUGUAUGUUACAAUGAUAGUAAGUUUUUAUAAGAUAGACGAACCCAAUAUAAGAUGAGUUAAAAAUAUCAAAUAUAUACAUCAAUUAUUCGGAGGUAUGUAUAGAACAUUCAUUUUUUAUAUUCAACUAACAUUGUGUUGCUAAAAACAAUAAUAUUAUACUAGUUUAGUUAGGAUAACUAGUUUAUAUUCCAAUUGCUGUGACAUUAUUUGAUUAACUUAAGUGCUAGUUAGUUAUUAAGUUUUAUCAUUUCACAUAAAUUGAAAUAUAAACAAAAUAUUCCAACUAAAUAAAUAUAGCAUCACUCAUUUUUAAAAAUUUUAAGUUUUUAGAAAUAACGAAUAUCUCCUGUUGUAUGUAUAAUAUCUUAAUACCCACAGAAUGAUAAAUUUAUUAAAAUAAAAGAAUUGCAAAGAAUACAACUAGCAGCUAGUUCGAGAAGGAUCUAAGCGAGCCUUACUCUUAACAAAUUAACCAUUUUCAAAGCCUAUGCCUAUUAGAAAAGACACUUAAAAAUAAUGAAAAAUCAAACAGAUCUGCAGUAAGGUAGAUAUCACAAGAUAUUGUGAUGUAAUCAAUUAUGAAUUUAUGUUGGACUAUUAAUGUUGUUGUUACACUUAGAAAUUCUCGGCCAUUGCUGAAUGGAGCACCAAGUUUCUGAAACACCCUGUCAUCAAAGAAAACUUGCCACCCAGGGACAAGACGCUUGCCUAUUUUCACAAGCGAGUAGAAGAGAUUAUGCCGACUUUUGUGCAUCGGAGAAUUAAAGUUGCAAUGUUGUGUGUAAUGUAUAUUUCAUCUUUAAAUCAAAUAUUUAGAAAGAAUAAGAUGAUAUCCUAUGAUUAGGCCUAUGUUCUAUAAUAUGCAAGAACUGCCUGUUAUGUCUUCAUAAAUUUGGAAGCCUACAAAGAACUAGGAAGCUUCUCUCUUUUUAUCAGAAUUUUGCAAAUAACGGUUGUAUAAAUGGUUUCAAAGAUGAGUUUAUUUAGUAAAAUAAUGGGAGUAGUAAAUUUUAGUUAAGGGACAGAGGUUGCAUUAGGCAUCCUAGUGGGUGUAUAGCUAAAAAAAAUUAUUUUUUUAUAUAUGUAAUAAUAGAUCUUUUGAAAAGAUGGGUUUUUAAAAUAGUUUAGUGGAUGACAUCAUUUAAAUUUUAACAAAUAAUAAUAAUAACAACUCUCUAAAGAAAAUCAAGCAAAAAUAAUAAUAGCUUGAAGACUUAAUACUACCAGAAGGAGCUGCAAGCAUCAUGAGACAGGAUAGCUUUGAGCCCUUGACCAUAUCUUGGGGCCUGCAUCACUGUACCACCACCCAAAUCAUCAUACUGCAGGCUCAAUUUAGACAAGAAAAUUCUAUGGGUUUACUAAGGCCCAAAUUAAUCUAACUCAAUCUAGUUAAAUUAAUAUAGAUUGAUUGGGUUAUAAUGGGUUGAUUCCGUCAAUUUAUUAAGUGGUGAUAAUUGACUCUCUUAUUUUAUCUAACUAGUCCCCACUUUUUAGUUAAAUUCAUUAAAAAUUUGAAAUUAAUUUUUAUCCCUUACAAUAUCUCAAAUAAUCCCAAUUUUAUUUUUAUUAUAAUUUUUUUUUCAACCAUCCAUCGUAUAAAACUUAUGAAAUCUAUUUUUUUUUUAAAAAAACUCUAAAAACAUUUAAAAAGAAAAGAACAUCGUGUUAUUUAUCGUUAGAUGUUGGUUACAAUGGAAAAUAUUUAAUUUUAUGAUGGGGAAUUAUGUGCUUUUUUACUAUUUGAAUUUAAUUUUAAAUUCCAAAUUAUUUUUUAAACUUUUAUAUUUAAAUUUUUUGUAUUUUUAAUUUUGAUCAAGAUCAACCCAACCCAACCCAACCAAACCAUUGCCGAUGAUUUAAGGGUUGGAGUGGGUUGGAUUUGACAUGUUUAUUUGUUUAAUUUAUUAAUUCUUCUCAACCCAAUUAACAAUGGAUUGAGUUGGAUUUUUAUAAACUGAAUCCAAUUCAACCCAUAUCCACCUCUAAAAAUUAAAUUCUUUUAUAAAAUAGUGUUAGAAAAAUAUUUUAACAAGGAACUAUUUUUAAAUUAAAAAAGGGGAGAAGUUCUCAUCAGUCAUCUCUACAUAGGAUAUUGUUGCAUAUAAAACAUUGAAAUGAAAAAAAAAAAAAUUAGAAACUAGACUUUUGAAAUUCCAAAUGUCCUCACAGAACUCAACACCGUCAAUGGCAAAAACACACACGCAGGUUAAUUAAGUCAUGCCUUGCCUCUCAAGAAGUGUCGCAUUCUCGAGAAAAAUUCCAUUUACAUUAAAGGUCGUGUGUAUGUAGCAUAAAAAUUGGAUUCUUUAAUUUAUAUGUAACCAAUCGAAAAAAAAUAAUAAUAAUCUACAGCAGUCAAAGUUGCCGUCUAUCUUGUCUUCUAACUUGUAAUUAUUAUAAAAAUCUAGUUUUCCACUUAUCUAGAAGUGAGUGUGUGUGUGUGUGGAUAGAUCUCACCUCACAUUCACAAAUCACAAUAGCAGAAGAUUAUGGCAACAAAAGUGAAGGUUUUGGGGGUUUGGUGUAGUCCUUUUGUGUUUAGGGUAGUAUGGGCAUUGAAGCUAAAGGGUGUUGAAUUUGAAUACAUUGAAGAAGACAUCUUUAACAAAAGCACCAGGCUUCUUGAGCUGAACCCAGUUCAUAAAAAGGUUCCUGUGCUUGUUCAUGAUGACAAAGUGAUAGUUGAGUCGCUUGUUAUUCUGGAGUACAUCGAUGAGACAUGGCCACAAGAUCCGUUGCUGCCUCAAGAUCCUUAUGAAAGAGCCAUGGCUCGAUUUUGGGCUAAAUUUGCAGAUGAAAAGGUG
rnacentral:lncRNA from 1 species